AUUCUGACUCUGUCCCCAGUUAUUAACUGGGUGACCUUAGGUUAUGUGUAUAAUGUCUCCGAAUCUAGGUACUUUCAUCUGUAAAUUGAAGAUAAUUAAACCUGCCUCACAAGGUUAUAAUGCAAAUUACUUUAAAUGAUACAAUGUUUAUGAGUGUGCCAAGCAAGCACAAGGUCCUCCAGAAAAAGAAAAAAAGCAGGUGAAAUUCCCAAAUGGAAUUACUGGACAAAAGGGAAUGAAAACCAAAAAGCCAAAUUUUCUUUUUAAAAAAUUGCACUAAUUUACACUAAAACCAGUAGUGCAUGACUGCCUGUUUCCUCACAUCCUCAUGAAAUAUUGAGUUGCAGUGUGGAAAACGAAAAGCACAAACACCAUUAUGGAUACAGUGGCAUAGACCUGGAAAGGCAGCCCAUGAAGGAGGCUGGGGCAACUGUGGAUGACUGGCAGGGAGAGAAGAAGGUUUGGGUAA